GAUGAACGCUGGCGGCGUGCCUAAUACAUGCAAGUCGAGCGAACAGAUGAGGAGCUUGCUCCUCUGACGUUAGCGGCGGACGGGUGAGUAACACGUGGAUAACCUACCUAUAAGACUGGGAUAACUUCGGGAAACCGGAGCUAAUACCGGAUAAUAUAUUGAACCGCAUGGUUCAAUAGUGAAAGACGGUUUUGCUGUCACUUAUAGAUGGAUCCGCGCCGCAUUAGCUAGUUGGUAAGGUAACGGCUUACCAAGGCAACGAUGCGUAGCCGACCUGAGAGGGUGAUCGCCCACACUGGAACUGAGACACGGUCCAGACUCCUACGGGAGGCAGCAGUAGGGAAUCUUCCGCAAAGGGCGAAAGCCUGACGGAGCAACGCCGCGUGAGUGAUGAAGGUCUUCGGAUCGUAAAACUCUGUUAUUAGGGAAGAACAAAUGUGUAAGUAACUAUGCACGUCUUGACGGUACCUAAUCAGAAAGCCACGGCUAACUACGUG
rnacentral:rRNA from 1 species